rnacentral:rRNA from 1 species
UAUUGCACAAUGGGUGAAACCCUGAUGCAGCAACGCUGCGUGAGUGAAGAAGUAUUUCGAUAUGUAAAGCUCUAUCAGCAGGGAAGAAGAUGACGGUACCUGAGUAAGAAGCCCCGGCUAACUACGUGCCAGCAGCCGCGGUAAUACGUAGGGGGCAAGCGUUAUCCGGAUUUACUGGGUGUAAAGGGAGUGUAGACGGCAUAGCAAGUCUGAAGUGAAAGCCCAAGGCUCAACCAUGGGACUGCUUUGGAAACUGUUAAGCUAGAGUGCUGGAGAGGUAAGCGGAAUUCCUAGUGUAGCGGUGAAAUGCGUAGAUAUUAGGAAGAACACCAGUGGCGAAGGCGGCUUACUGGACUGUAACUGACACUGAGGCUCGAAAGCGUGGGGAGCAAACAGG